AUGCCUAACACAUGCAAGUCGAACGAAGGCUUCGGCCUUAGUGGCGCACGGGUGCGUAACGCGUGGGAAUCUGCCCUUGGGUUCGGAAUAACAGUUAGAAAUGACUGCUAAUACCGGAUGAUGUCGUAAGACCAAAGAUUUAUCGCCCAAGGAUGAGCCCGCGUAGGAUUAGCUAGUUGGUGAGGUAAAAGCUCACCAAGGCGACGAUCCUUAGCUGGUCUGAGAGGAUGAUCAGCCACACUGGGACUGAGACACGGCCCAGACUCCUACGGGAGGCAGCAGUGGGGAAUAUUGGACAAUGGGCGAAAGCCUGAUCCAGCAAUGCCGCGUGAGUGAUGAAGGCCUUAGGGUUGUAAAGCUCUUUUACCCGGGAUGAUAAUGACAGUACCGGGAGAAUAAGCUCCGGCUAACUUCGUGCCAGCAGCCGCGGUAAUACGAGGGGAGCUAGCGUUAUUCGGAAUUACUGGGCGUAAAGCGCACGUAGGCGGCUUUGUAAGUUAGAGGUGAAAGCCCGGGGCUCAACUCCGGAAUUGCCUUUAAGACUGCAUCGCUUGAAUCCAGGAGAGGUGAGUGGAAUUCCGAGUGUAGAGGUGAAAUUCGUAGAUAUUCGGAAGAACACCAGUGGCGAAGGCGGCUCACUGGACUGGUAUCGACGCUGAGGUGCG
rnacentral:rRNA from 1 species